GAUGAACGCUGGCGGCGUGCCUAACACAUGCAAGUCGAACGGAGAUUACGGACGGAAGUUUUCGGAUGGAAGCCUGUAAUUCUUAGUGGCGGACGGGUGAGUAACGCGUGGGCAACCUGCCCUAUAAAGGGGGAUAGCAGCUGGAAACGGCUGGUAAGACCGCAUAAGUCGGUUAAAUCGCAUGAUUUGAUCGGGAAAUGAGCAAUCAGGUAUAGGAUGGGCCCGCGUCCGAUUAGCCAGUUGGCAGGGUAAAAGCCUACCAAAGCGACGAUCGGUAGCCGGACUGAGAGGUCGGACGGCCACAUUGGGACUGAGACACGGCCCAAACUCCUACGGGAGGCAGCAGUGGGGGAUAUUGCACAAUGGAGGAAACUCUGAUGCAGCGACGCCGCGUGAGUGAAGAAGUAUUUCGGUAUGUAAAGCUCUAUCAGCAGGGAAGAUGAUGACGGUACCUGACUAAGAAGCCCCGGCUAACUACGUG
rnacentral:rRNA from 1 species